AGCACCUGAGGGGAGGUAGGCCGUUAACGUUCGUUUGGACAGGCUCCUCCCUCCAGGGAUCUGCCGCCCAGCGGAGACAGGAACGUGGCGUGGAGCCCAGCAGGGCCCCGGCGGUGACCCCGGGUAAGCCCCGCCCCCCACCCCUCCCGUUCAGUUAACUGUUUGGGCUGCGGCGGAUGGAACCCAGCGAAAGUGCACGCCCCGCGGGCCGGCGUGGGCGCGUGUGAUCUUAACCCCGCGGGGGCGGGGCUGCGGGCGGCAGUGGCUGGAGAACCCUGGGCGGCGGCUGCGGGGGCGGGCGGCCCAGCCACAGCCGGUGUCUCCGCACCUUAUAAGGGCUUCGAGUCGGCCCAGGCAUCUGGAAUGUGUCAGGGACCAGGAGGCGGUGCCCGGACCCCCGCCCGCCUCCGGGGCUGCCCGCCCUCUCCCGGAUUUCCGGGGGGUGGGGACCCCGACUCUCAGGUCUUAGGAGAGGGUUGGAGGUCCGCAUUUCUGGAUCCCUAUAAACAUAGGCUGAGAGCCCCCCAAGAGCAUCUCUAAGACCGAAGUGGGCAGGCACCCGGGCCUCUGAGGGGCUCAGGCUCCAGGCCGAAAACUGCACGCGGUGCUGGAGUCAGGCCCGAGGCCCAGCCACGCCUACCACGGCCUCCCUGAUCGCCAUUCGGGGCUUGCGGGAGCACCUGGGAGGCUCCACCAGGAGCCAGACACUGCCUGUCCCCACGCCCGUCCACGACCCGCGAAGGAGAAGGAAAUCGGGACUGGCCCAGCGUCCCGUGCUCUAGAAGGCGGGCUACUGCCCCGUCCCAAGCAGGGGAGGAGGACGAGCGAGGGCGUCACUCAUUCUGUACCCCGCGGAAGGUGGGCUAGCCGCGGAGGGGGACGCGCCGAGGGGAGGGGAGGGGUCCACCCCGCCCUUAGGGCCUCCAGCCAUCAACCGAGAUCAGAGCUCAGGAAUGCGCAGCCAGAGCCUGGAGGGUGAGGAAACACCCCUCCGGAAUUCCUCGCAGAGCACCCGACUCCCCGGGCCACACCCAGCCCCUCAGUAUCCUCCCUCGUCCACUCCGGACGCCACACCCAUCGCUCACGCUCAGAAUCGGGCCCCGGAACCCCAGCCUCGGCUCUCGGCACCCAGAGGUGCGGGACGCAGCCCUGUCCUCUCCUCCUUUCCCAGCUCCUUCUGCACUUUUGUAGCACUGGGCUGGAUCUUAACACUCCUCUCCUUCGGCCUUUCAGGAGCCCAAAGUUCCGAUUCUGUCUGUCCCCUGGACAGGGGGACAGUAAUUCUGAAUUCCUUCCAUUCUCAUUCUCAAACCCAGGACACCUAAGCCUAAGCUCUUCGCCUCCUAAAGGACCUCCACACGUAUGACCUCCACAGUCCAGGUCCUCAGCCCUCUCCUCUGCAGAACCCCAAGAAUCCUGGCCCAGCCCCAGUCUUUCUACGGACCCAGACAUUCUGAGACCCAGCGCAUUCCUCCCUCCGGCCAUAAAGACCCUAGACUGUUGCUUACGCCCUCUGGGGUCCCCACAACCUCACCUCAGGCAGCCAGUGACGACUGCGGCUGAAGCAAAGACGACAGCUGCAGCUGGAAGGGUCUGAGGGCUGGGUGGGGUUGGCGGGCUGGGGAGCCAGCGCGGGCGGGACGGGGGCGGGGCCGGGGCGGGGCGCAGCUCCGGCUGGGGCGGUGGACAGGGACUUCCCCGAGCUUGGGCUAUCCCAGCCCCGCCCUGAGGCGGGGCCAAGAGCAGACCACGCCCCCCCGGGUAAAAGUAACGCGGAGCUCCCGCCCCUACCCAGUGAGCUGGGUGGAGGGCUGAGGUCACCGUUGCCGUGGUGACAAAACAGGAAGACACAACAGCUGGCGGCGUGGAGACUCCUGGGGGCUGCCCUCCUCGACACAGCCCUAGAGGAGUCUCCAGGGUAGGCCAGGGAAGACCGUUACCAUAGAAACCCGCAUGUUUAGGGUUUGUUUAGUACAGAGCCCCCCAGCUCAGGUCCCCGCCCCCGUCUCACCUCACUCCUUUCUUCCGCUCCCUUCCUAGGCCCUCCUUCCUGGUCUGUUCCGCCCCCACCCCUUCCUUGCUGGAUUGAACCUUACGACACCUGGGUCGCAGCGGAUUGGGGGACCAGGCCCCUCAGUUCAAUGGGGUUUGUGGGCUAGGAUCUCUGUCUCGUGGAGCCCUGAGGGAGAGCAGAAUUGAGAGCAGUAUUCCUGGGAUUUAGGUGGUUCUGGACUACGACCCCUGACUGCUGGGUCUCCCCAAGAAACAGAGGCUAGAUUCCUGUAUUUAAGGAUCUUGAAGGGGCAGCAAAAUGCUCCCCUAGUACCCAUUGGCACCGGGCGCCGCAGAGGAAGGGACUGGGCUGGACGCGGGUCUCAGAUAUCACAGUGGAUAGGGGUGGGGUGUGCUGGGGGCAAAAUUCCUGGGAGCUAGCGCAGUAGGAGUUGGGGGCCCGGAUUCCUGGGCUCCACAGGAUGCCUAUGCUGAGGCCCAGAUUCUUGGCUCAAAAGAACAAUCAGGCCCGGGCGCGGUGGCUCACGCCUGUAAUCCCAGCACUUCGGGAGGCUGAGGAGGGAGGAUCCCUUGAGCCCAGGAGUUCGAGACCAGCCUGGGCAACAUAAGGAGACUCUGCUCUAUUAAAAAUAGAUCAUCAUCAUCAUAGAACCAUUAAAGCUCAGACUCGGCUUUUCAGAGCAGGUGUUGCAAGCCUAGCCGCCUGGGUCUGGAAAGCAGAGAUAUUUUUGGCCUACAUUCCUGACUGCUGGAUGGAGGGAAGGACUCAGAAUUUUAAUGAGGAUGGGGCUGUGGCUGUGGCUUGGGGCUUUGGAUUCCUGGAUCCUGCAAGAGGAGAAGGGAUCCAAGGGGCUGGUAGGCCCGAAGCCCCAGGGCAGGGAAGGGCUGCAGGGUGUGUUUUUAAAAGGCGGCUCUGCGGCCCUAAAA